rnacentral:rRNA from 1 species
ACGCUCGACACCUACGGGAGACAGCAGUCGGGAAUAUUGCGCAAUGGAGGAAACUCUGACGCAGUGACGCCGCGUAUAGGAAGAAGGUUUUCGGAUUGUAAACUAUUGUCGUUAGGGAAGAUACAAGACAGUACCUAAGGAGGAAGCACCGGCUAACUAUGUACCAGCAGCCGCGGUAAUCUGAGCGGGCUGGCAAGGC